CUAGCUUGCUAGAUUGAUGGCGAGUGGCGAACGGGUGAGUAAUACAUCGGAACGUGCCCUGUAGUGGGGGAUAACUAGUCGAAAGAUUAGCUAAUACCGCAUACGACCUGAGGGUGAAAGUGGGGGACCGCAAGGCCUCAUGCUAUAGGAGCGGCCGAUGUCUGAUUAGCUAGUUGGUGAGGUAAAGGCUCACCAAGGCGACGAUCAGUAGCUGGUCUGAGAGGACGAUCAGCCACACUGGGACUGAGACACGGCCCAGACUCCUACGGGAGGCAGCAGUGGGGAAUUUUGGACAAUGGGCGAAAGCCUGAUCCAGCAAUGCCGCGUGUGUGAAGAAGGCCUUCGGGUUGUAAAGCACUUUUGUCCGGAAAGAAAUGGCUCUGGUUAAUACCUGGGGUCGAUGACGGUACCGGAAGAAUAAGGACCGGCUAACUACGUGCCAGCAGCCGCGGUAAUACGUAGGGUCCAAGCGUUAAUCGGAAUUACUGGGCGUAAAGCGUGCGCAGGCGGUUGUGCAAGACCGAUGUGAAAUCCCCGAGCUUAACUUGGGAAUUGCAUUGGUGACUGCACGGCUAGAGUGUGUCAGAGGGGGGUAGAAUUCCACGUGUAGCAGUGAAAUGCGUAGAGAUGUGGAGGAAUACCGAUGGCGAAGGCAGCCCCCUGGGAUAACACUGACGCUCAUGCACGAAAGCGUGGGGAGCAAACAGGAUUAGAUACCCUGGUAGUCCACGCCCUAAACGAUGUCAACUAGUUGUUGGGGAUUCAUUUCCUUAGUAACGUAGCUAACGCGUGAAGUUGACCGCCUGGGGAGUACGGUCGCAAGAUUAAAACUCAAAGGAAUUGACGGGGACCCGCACAAGCGGUGGAUGAUGUGGAUUAAUUCGAUGCAACGCGAAAAACCUUACCUACCCUUGACAUGCCACUAACGAAGCAGAGAUGCAUUAGGUGCUCGAAAGAGAAAGUGGACACAGGUGCUGCACGGCUGUCGUCAGCUCGUGUCGUGAGAUGUUGGGUUAAGUCCCGCAACGAGCGCAACCCUUGUCUCUAGUUGCUACGAAAGGGCACUCUAGAGAGACUGCCGGUGACAAACCGGAGGAAGGUGGGGAUGACGUCAAGUCCUCAUGGCCCUUAUGGGUAGGGCUUCACACGUCAUACAAUGGUGCAUACAGAGGGUUGCCAAGCCGCGAGGUGGAGCUAAUCCCAGAAAAUGCAUCGUAGUCCGGAUCGUAGUCUGCAACUCG
rnacentral:rRNA from 1 species